rnacentral:rRNA from 1 species
UACAGAGGGUGCGAGCGUUAAUCGGAAUUACUGGGCGUAAAGGGUGCGUAGGCGGUUGUUUAAGUUAGAUGUGAAAUCCCCGGGCUUAACCUGGGAAUUGCAUUUAAGACUGGACGGCUAGAGUAGAGUAGAGGGAAGUGGAAUUUCCGGUGUAGCGGUGAAAUGCGUAGAUAUCGGAAAGAACAUCAGUGGCGAAGGCGGCUUCCUGGACUCAUACUGACGCUGAGGCACGAAAGCAUGGGGAGCAAACAGG